GCUUGGUUAACUCAGUUGGUCAGAGCGCAGGUCUCAUAUGAGAGUAUGAGGGAUGAAGCAUCCUGAAAUCCUGAGGUCGUGGGCUCGUAUCCCUCACCGAGAA
rnacentral:tRNA from 1 species